rnacentral:rRNA from 1 species
GAUGAACGCUAGCGACAGGCUUAACACAUGCAAGUCGAGGGGCAGCAUGAAAGGUAGCAAUACUUUUUGAUGGCGACCGGCGCACGGGUGAGUAACACGUAUGCAACCUGCCCAUUGCAGGGGGAUAAGCGGAAGAAAUUCCGUCUAAUACCGCGUAAUAUCCUUUGAAGGCAUCUUCAUAGGAUUAAAGAAAUUCGGCAAUGGAUGGGCAUGCGGCGCAUUAGCUAGUUGGCGGGGUAACGGCCCACCAAGGCGACGAUGCGUAGGGGUUCUGAGAGGAAGGUCCCCCACACUGGUACUGAGACACGGACCAGACUCCUACGGGAGGCAGCAGUGGGGGAUAUUGCGCAAUGGGGGGGAACCCUGACGCAGCAACGCCGCGUGAAGGAUGAAGGCCUUCGGGUUGUUAAAGCGUCUGUCUUCAGGGACGAUAAUGACGGUACCUGAGGAGAAGCACGGCUACUACGUGCCAGCAGCCGCGGU